UGGGGGGCUGCGUACGGGGCCGUUCCGGCGCGAGGGCCUCUUCGCGCGGCCUGGGACCCGAGGGUCGGCGCCGCGGAGCCGGGCGCUGGCGGUGCGGCCCCCGCGACCCCUGGCUCGGGCUGGGCCCCGGGGCGUGUCCGGGGAGCCCCUCUGAGGGGGUGUGGCGGGGAGGGGGCGCGGCGGGCGGCGGGACAACUUCUGAGGUAGCUGCGCGUAUCUCGCUCUCCGCUCCCCUCGCCCCGAAACUCCUUUCCCUUCCGGGGUCGGGAGGCGCCGCCCCGGAGCGUACCUUGCGCGCCCUUGGCGACCCCGAGCUCCGGGUUCCGGGCGCGUUUGAGGCGUCUCCGCCGUGCGGGCGACUUUACUGCCCACCCCGCCUCAACCCGCGGCGUGCGCGAUGCUCGGGCGGCCCUGCAGUGAAAGGAGACCCCGUUUACCAAGCCGCCAAGGACAUAGGCAUCAGGGAGUCUGCGAGACCCUCAUAGAGGGGAUGGCACCCCAUGGGCAGCCCACAGACGCAAACGAGCAGGCAAAGGUGGGUUUCUGAGCCCAUUGCAGCCCGGCCGGACAUUGGUCCCUGGAACCUGCCUGGACUGGAGGGAAGAGCAGGGGAGCGGGUCAGGGGCCCGCCAGGUGAGCAGCCUCCGUCUGGCUCUUGCGUUUCUCCACCAACACCUAGUCUCUUGCAAAGGGUAGAUUGCAGCCCCAGAAGAAGUAGCUGGGAGGACCCAGGAGGCUCACUACUGGGUGACCAUGACCUUGACCCUGAUUCGUAUCAGAGGACUAGGGCCAGCUCCCUGAACUUUCCGAUCUUCCCGUCUCCGAAUAACCACGCUGGCUCCUUGGCAAAAGGUUGCUGACCAGGUCAAAAGCAAUCACAUUGAUGGAUUGUUUUCUUGGGGUCGACUGUGACUCCCCACCUGGGCGCCCCAUCGUCCUCACCCCUGCCCCUUCAAGUGAACUUGAUCUGUGACCUCUACCAAGACAGUUCUCAAGCUCUCCGCUCCCGCCCCCCCGGCCCCCCGAGGCUCUGCCCCAAACUGUGGAAGCUAGUCAAGGAGUCUGAAGUCAAGGAAUCUACAUUUCUACAGAAGACUGAGCUAAGCAUGCUCUGUGGUCAAAGCAAAUUUGGGUCUGAAACUUUUUUGCAAGGCGUAAGUGGUCUGAGUUCCAGCUGUGCAUGGGACAGUCCUUGUGGGGUGAGUGGGGAGAACAGUUCAUCAUUUCAGCUCUGCUAGGAGAGCUUUUCACUUCCCAGUGGGUGAGGACUGAGCCAAGUACCAUGGCCUUGUCUGUUUCUACCCGGCAUUAUCACCUUAACUCUAAUUCCAGCCAGUCUCUUAACUCCCCUGCUGUACCCAGUCCACUUUGUCUUUGUUUGUCCUGGCUUGAUUUCUGCAUUCUCAAGGGAGGUUACCUGGACUUCGAAUCUUAGUCACCCUUCCUUCUUUCUCGCAUUCCAGAAACCCACUUUGUGACACCUUUGGUGGGAGACUGGUUGCUGCCUGAGAGCCUAGGUCUAAAAAAGUAAGCAAGUCACUGGCCUUGAAAGUUUUCCAACUGCUUAAAAAUAAUAAUGAAAAGAGACCUGGCCCCCUCAUCUUCACCUGUUGAUUUCCAGAAUUAUCACACGAGGUUAUUAUCGUAAACACCAAAUGUUUUUAAAAUGAGGCUGAUCUUUUCAAGACUCCAGACUUCAAGAAGCCUUCCCUAUGUGCCUCUCCAUGGCACUUACACUUCCAUAUAUUAGAUUAUUUUUACUUAAUCUCCAAAAGAUUGCGACCUCUUGGACCACAGGUACUAUUUCACUUGCUCUGUAGAC